rnacentral:lncRNA from 1 species
GAUCUAUUUGUGAUAGCAACAAGGGAUGCACGUGACAUUUGGUACCGAAGACCUGGGGCAGGGGGACUCCUUCGGGAGCCCAGUCCCCUGUCCUUGCCCUCAGUCUGUGAGGAGAUCCACGUAUGACCUCAGGUCCUCAGACCAGCCCAAGGAACAUCUCACCAAUUUCAAAUCAGGUAACCAGUCUCUUCACUGUCUUCUCCAGUCUCUCUCACUACCCUUCAAUCUCCCUGUCUUUUCAAUUCCAGUUCUUUUUCCUUUCUAGUAGAGACAAAGGAGACACAUUUUAUCCAUGAACUCGAAAACUCUGACCUCAGUCACGGAUUUUGGAAGACAGUCUUCCCUUGGUGUCUGAUCAUAGCGGGGACGCCUGCCCUGAUCAUUUGCCCACAUUCUGUUGGUGUCUGAUCACCGCAGGGACACAUGCCUUGAUCAUUCACCCACAUUCCUUUGGUGGCAAUCCAGUUAUGGGGACACCUGCUUUGGCUGCUCACCCACAUUACAGCCCACAUUACAGCGCUGCUCACCGCCCCCCUGCCCCUUCUCCGUGUCUCUACCUUUCCCUUUAAACUUACUUCCUUCACUAUGGGCAACCUUCCAUCCUCCAUUCCCCCUUCUUCUCCUUUAGCCUGUGUUCUUAAAAACCUAAAACCCCUUCGACUAACACCUGACCUAAAACCUAAACGUCUUAUUUUCCUCUGUAAGACCACUUGGCCCCAAUACAAACUUGACAAUAGUUCUAAGUGACCAGAGAAUAGCACUUUCGAUUUCUCCAUCCUACAAGAUCUGGAUAAUUUUUGUCAUAAAAUGGGCAAAUGGUCUGAGGUGCCU